rnacentral:rRNA from 1 species
GAUCCUGGCUCAUGAUUACGCUGGCGGCGUGCCUAACACAUGCAAGUCGCACGGGAACCUUUGGAUUCGUCUGAAGGGGAGAGUGGCGAACGGGUGAGUAACACGUUGGUGACCUGCCUCAAAGACGGGGAUAACCGUCGGAAACGACGGCUAAUACCCGAUGGUCUCGGUCAUUCGGUUGAUCGAGUAAAAGUGUUCUUCGGAACGCGCUUUGAGAGGGGCCUGCGGCCCAUCAGCUAGUUGGUAGGGUAAAGGCCUACCAAUGCAAAGACGGGUAGGGGACGUGAGAGCGUGGNCCCCCACACUGGCACUGAGACACGGGCCAGACUCCUACGGGAGGCAGCAGUGAGGAAUAUUGCCCAAUGGACGCAAGUCUGAGGCAGCAACGCCGCGUGGAUGAUGAAGGCCUUCGGGUCGUAAAAUCCUUUUCUGGGGGAAGAGGAAGGACGGUACCUCAGGAAUAAGUCUCGGCUAACUAUGUGCCAGCAGCCGCGGUAAGACAUAGGAGGCAAGCGUUAUCCGGAUUUACUGGGCGUAAAGGGCGUUGAGGCGGUCUUGUAAGUUGGACGUGAAAGCUCCUGGCUCAACUAGGAGAGGCCGUUCAAUACUGCGAGACUUGAGGACAGCAGAGGGGGGUGGAAUUCCCGGUGUAGUGGUGAAAUGCGUAGAGAUCGGGAGGAACACCAGUGGCGAAGGCGGCCCCCUGGGCUGCUCCUGACGCUGAAUGCGAAAGCUAGGGUAGCAAACGGGAUUAGAAACCCCGGUAGUCCUAGCCGUAAACGAUGGAUACUAGGUGUGGGGGGGUUAGAUACCCUCUGUGCCGGAGCUAACGCGGUAAGUAUCCCGCCUGGGGACUACGGUCGCAAGGCUAAAACUCAAAGGAAUUGACGGGGGCCCGCACAAGCAGCGGAGCGUGUGGUUUAAUUCGGUGCAACGCGAAGAACCUUACCAGGGCUUGACAUGCAAGUAGUAGUGAAGCGAAAGCGGAACGAUCCUUCGGGAAGCUUGCACAGGUGCUGCAUGGCUGUCGUCAGCUCGUGCCGUGAGGUGUUAGGUUAAGUCCUGUAACGAGCGCAACCCUUGCCGUUAGUUACAAGUGUCUAACGGGACUGCCCGGCUCAACUGGGAGGAAGGUGGGGAUGACGUCAAGUCAGCAUGGCCUUUAUGUCCUGGGCUACACACACGCUACAAUGGCCGGUACAAUGGGUAGCCAAGCCGUGAGGCGGAGCCAAUCCUGUAAAGCCGGUCUCAGUUCGGAUUGCAGGCUGCAACUCGCCUGCAUGAAGUCGGAGUUGCUAGUAACCGCAGGUCAGCCACACUGCGGUGAAUACGUUCCCGGGCCUUGUACACACCGCCCGUCACGUCAUGGGAGCUGGUAACACCUGAAGCCGGUGAGCUAACCGCAAGGGGGCAGCCGUCGAAGGUGGGACUGGUGACUGGGACGAAGUCGU